CACGAGCUUUAAUGAGCAAAGGCAGGCAUUUAAGACCCAAAAAAAUAACAGUGGAAAUGCCCCCAACCGCCAGGUCUCUAAUACUGUGUCGCUUUCCCUAUCACCGGAGAGCUUUUAAUGAACUCCUCUCCCUUUUUUGGGUAGUGGGGGUUCUAAUCGGUUGUUCUUCUGACAGGGCUCUUGGGUUGGGCAGUGGCCGAUAAGCUGAGCAAGCAAGCAAAGCAAGAGCUGAAUCAAGUUCAGAUCAAUAAGCAAGAAAGAAAAGAGAGAUAUGGGUAUUGGUUUCACGUUGAGUGGUGGAAUUUC
rnacentral:misc_RNA from 1 species